GGGGUUGACAGGAAUUGACAGCAUUGUUCAUUGACAAGUAAGCAUGCAGAGCAUUGUAAUUUGGCUCUUUAAUCUCAAGCUACGAAACAAUUUUACACGGCGAGUCUAACUACGCCAUGGCAGCUUAAUUCCAAGAAUUAAGUAGCCUUCGUUCUCAGAACCGAUUGUCUGAUACGGUUUUGAAGGACGUCACAACAUCAGAAUAGGGAUGUAAUUUUCCGCUGCACCCCGAGAUAAAGGAAAUAAGGAUAUUCUCAGGUCCGACCGUUCACCCUGAAUAUCCCGAAAACCAAGAAUGGCCUAAGCAUGUAGAAAGCUUGUAAAUGCUUUGGCUGGACGUGGGUUCGAUUCCCACCAGCUCCACGA
rnacentral:tmRNA from 1 species